CUGGUGAAAGAGAAAUCGAAAGAAUGUAUCAUUUUGUGUAGGGUAGCAGAGAAUAAUUGAAUUACCUUCAACGUCAGUGUUGGAAUACAAAAAAAAUACAAAAGCAAAAGUAUUACCUAAUGAUUUCGGGAUUAUAAACUUUUACGUUUCAGAUUGAAUUGAAAAUUUCAACUUUUUUUUGUGGUCUAAUAAAUUUAUUUAUCUCUAGUUAGGAUUUACUAACGCUUUUGAGGUGGUUUGAAUAAAAAGAAAGCACUUCUGAAAAAGAAUAAGUGAAAACCUGGAUUAGGUAAGCACGUUAGGUACUUAAACUAAUAGAAAAUUUAUCUUAGUUGGAGAUUCAAAGGAGAACGUAUUCCAUUUGCAUGGAUAUCACUUUUAUGUGGUAGGGUCUACCAACCUGGAAAAGUCGAUGGAGCUUGAAAAUAUUAAAGAAUUAGACUCAAAGGGGAAAUUAUUCAAAAGGAAUCUGGAAAGUCCAGUAUUAAAGGAUACAAUACGAAUACCAAAAUAUGGAGCAGUAUCAUUUAGAUUUAUAGCUGAUAAUCCAGGUUUUUGGAUUUUACGUGAUGAAAUGUCCUUAGAAUGGACCAGAGGAAUGGAUGUAGUUUUUCAUAUCGGCUCCUGCUGUGAUAUGCCUUCAAUACCCAGUAACUUUCCUAAAUGUGGGAACUGGGUUGGCCCUGAAUUUUUCUUACUGUGAUUAUUUGCAAUUAUUGUUUACUAGUUAUGAUUGUUGUUAAUAAAUUUUUUUCUAUUAA